AGAGUUUGAUCAUGGCUCAGAACGAACGCUGGCGGCAGGCUUAACACAUGCAAGUCGAACGCCCCCUUCGGGGGGAGUGGCAGACGGGUGAGUAACGCGUGGGAACCUACCCAAUGGUACGGAAUAACGCAGGGAAACUUGUGCUAAUACCGUAUACGCCCUUCGGGGGAAAGAUUUAUCGCCAUUGGACGGGCCCGCGUUGGAUUAGCUAGUUGGUGGGGUAAUGGCCCACCAAGGCGACGAUCCAUAGCUGGUCUGAGAGGAUGAUCAGCCACACUGGGACUGAGACACGGCCCAGACUCCUACGGGAGGCAGCAGUGGGGAAUAUUGGACAAUGGGCGAAAGCCUGAUCCAGCCAUGCCGCGUGGGUGAAGAAGGCCCUAGGGUUGUAAAUCCCUUUCAGCGGGGAAGAUAAUGACGGUAACCGUAGAAGAAGCCCCGGCUAACUUCGUGCCAGCAGCCGCGGUAAUACGAAGGGGGCUAGCGUUGUUCGGAACUACUGGGCGUAAAGCGCACGUAGGCGGAUACUUAAGUUAGGGGUGAAAUCCCGGGGCUCAACCCCGGAACUGCCUUUAAUACUGGGUAUCUCGAGUUCGAGAGAGGUGAGUGGAAUUCCGAGUGUAGAGGUGAAAUUCGUAGAUAUUCGGAGGAACACCAGUGGCGAAGGCGGCU
rnacentral:rRNA from 1 species